GGCUCAUGGCUUUUCCCCUGUUCCAGUUUGCAUUUGCCCUGUAACUACUGGGAGGAGUCCUGCUUUGUCUAUAAAAAACUGCACUUUGCCAAACACCAUAACAGAACUGAAUUUAGGGAUUCGCUCACCCGUCCGCUGCAGAGAGAGAGAGAGGACUGAGCACAGCCAUGUUUGGGGUUGGGAAGAAGCUUGCUGAGGAAGCUGUGCAACAAGCUGAAAGCACUGCACAGGUGACAGUAAAUACUGUGGGCCAGACUGUGCAGCAAGCAGUGGAACAGGCUAAGGAUGCUGGUCAGAAAGCUCUUGAUGAAGUCUACAAAGUUGCUGAAACCGGCGAAAAAGCUGUUAAAAACGUAGCGAAUCAGGCAACUUCGUGGGGCAAAAGCUUUGGACAAUGAAGAUAAAAAUGUAACACUACUGAAAUUUUUGUAAACAAGUUUCUACUACAUGUACUGUUAAUAAAGAAAAUACUUCUACUCUACCUGGAUUGCAUGUAUUCCUUAGGAAUCUUUUGGUUACACGUAUUAAACACUUAGAAUCAC
rnacentral:lncRNA from 1 species